GACGUAGGGUGCAAGCGUUAAUCGGAAUUACUGGGCGUAAAGCGUACGUAGGCGGCUUUGUAAGUUAGAGGUGAAAGCCCGGUGCUCAACCCCGGAAUUGCCUUUAAGACUGCAUCGCUUGAAUCGCGGAGAGGUGAGUGGAAUUCCGAGUGUAGAGGUGAAAUUCGUAGAUAUUCGGAAGAACACCAGUGGCGAAGGCGGCUCACUGGACGCGUAUUGACGCUGAGGUACGAAAGCGUGGGGAGCAAACAGG
rnacentral:rRNA from 1 species